AGUUUCUACCAUGGUGUCAUGACAUGGUGAGAACCUGAUAAAUGUACCAGUGAGGAGAGUAAAAAGGUUGGGCUAAUGGCUGGAGAAGCCGAGCUGGAGUGAUAAUGUCAAUGUGGCAGCAAUCAUGAAGACCAAGGGAGAAGCAAUCAAACAAUAGCAGUAAAUCAAGGAGACAGAUCAAGGUGAGGGCAGUCACACUGAAGCAUAGCAGAAGGCCAGCAGAAGUGA
rnacentral:lncRNA from 10 species